rnacentral:rRNA from 1 species
GACGAACGCUGGCGGCGUGCUUAACACAUGCAAGUCGAACGGAAAGGCCCUGCUUCUGUGGGGUGCUCGAGUGGCGAACGGGUGAGUAACACGUGAGUAACCUGCCCUUGACUUUGGGAUAACUUCAGGAAACUGGGGCUAAUACCGGAUAGGAGCUCCUGCUGCAUGGUGGGGGUUGGAAAGUUUCGGCGGUUGGGGAUGGACUCGCGGCUUAGCAGCUUGUUGGUGGGGUAGUGGCUUACCAAGGCUUUGACGGGUAGCCGGCCUGAGAGGGUGACCGGCCACAUUGGGACUGAGGUACGGCCCAGACUGCUACGGGAGGCAGCAGUGGGGGAUUUUGCGCGAUGGGCGGAAGCCUGGUGCAGCAACGCCGCGUGCGGGAUGACGGCCUUCGGGUUGUAAACCGCUUUCGCCUGUGACGAAGCGUGAGUGACGGUAAUGGGUAAGGAAGCACCGGCUAACUACGUG